UACAGAGACUGCGAGCGUUAUUCGGAUUCAUUGGGCGUAAAGGGUGCGUAGGUGGCGCCGUAAGUCGGAUGUGAAAUUUCGGAGCUUAACUCCGAAACUGCAUUCGAUACUGCGGUGCUUGAGGACUGGAGAGGAGACUGGAAUUCAUGGUGUAGCAGUGAAAUGCGUAGAGAUCAUGAGGAAGACCAGUGGCGAAGGCGGGUCUCUGGACAGUUCCUGACACUGAGGCACGAAGGCCAGGGGAGCAAACGGG
rnacentral:rRNA from 1 species